GUUAUGCUUCCAUUAGAAGAGUUCUGGAGA
rnacentral:piRNA from 1 species